rnacentral:lncRNA from 1 species
AUGAGCAUUUUUGAGCACGCAGAACACAUCGGCUCAGCCUGGAGCCAGCAGUUAGAGCGCGAACACACACACACACACACACACACACACACACACACACACACGCAGGCACGCACGCGGAGCAGUGCUUUCCUCUCAAGUGAGGCGGCAUUAGCAACUGCAGUUCCAGCUUCCUCAGCUGAGCUCCCGGCGGCCACUGCCUGCCUGAUUUGUCGGAGGAGCGCUAGAGUCCAGUUUCUGAGGGAUCCGGUAACAUGUAGCUGUCACAGCUGGUGGCAGACAGCCACUUCUUUCCAGCUGCUUCGCAGCCCUGGCAAGAGGACACCCUCUUCCAAAAUUCACGCUGCCUGGGGAGGAGGCUGCUCAGUGCAGAUUUCUUUGCAGGGUAGAGAAAAGGAUAACUCUGGAUACACUUUUUGUCCUGAACAAAGGAGACAGCACAGACAUCUUCAGACAAGUCCCACAUCUCCAAUAUUGCAGGAGGAAGCUUUACCUGUUCCACCUCAACACUUGCCCUGCACCCAUUUCUUUUCUGACAAGGAUGUGUCCUGCAAUUGCAACUUCAAUUUUGUUUGAAGAUUGGUACUGACAAGCUGACUGGUAAGUGACACCACAAUUCUUAUUAUGAUGCAUUUUUUAAAGUAUAUGUUCUAUAGUCAUCUUGGCACCCUGAUUUUCAAAUACAGAAAUCAGCAACUGGGACUUAAAGGAGUGAAAUUCUCUACUGUCUUCCCAAAGAUACAGUGUCUAGAGAAAUAGUUGAUGAAUUAUUCUCACUGAAUAGUUGUUUCUGGCAAUAGUUGAUUGAGUUAAAUCAUUGGAUAACAUUCUGUAUCUGUGGCAGUUGUGAAUUACAUUUCAAAGGAAACCAAGGGGCUCUGAGUAAAGAAAAAAAUGAUAGGUAAACUAACUUGAGAAGAACUAUGAGAAUUAGUUUGUAUGAAUAAUAUGGUUUACUUCAAUUUUAUGUCUUUAAAAUUUUAGUAUGCAUAAAGAUGAAAGAUUUCUAAAGUUCUUCUCACGUGGCUUACUAAUAUAGAACCGAAUGUGUUGUUUUGUUGUAGAAUUCGAAAGGAAGCUAUUGUUUCAAUUGUGCACCAAAAUAAUAAACUCUUGCCAGAAAACA